rnacentral:rRNA from 1 species
CAAUAGCGUAUAUUUAAGUUGUUGCAGUUAAAAAGCUCGUAGUUGGAUUUCGGGUGGGACGCAGCGGUCUCGCAUUGCGUUUGUACUGCUGCAGCCCUCCUUCUUGCCGGGGGCGGCCUCUCGGACUUCACUGUCUGGGGGUCAGAAUCGGCGAUGUUACUUUGAGUAAAUUAGAGUGUUCAAAGCAAGCUUACGCUCUGAAUAUAAUAGCAUGGGAUAACACGACAGGACUCUGGCCUAUCGUGUUGGUCUAUAGGACCAGAGUAAUGAUUAAGAGGGACAGUCGGGGGCAUUCGUAUUCCGUUGUCAGAGGCGAAAUUCUUGGAUUUACGGAAGACGAACAUCUGCGAAAGCAUUUGCCAAGGAUGUUUUCAUUG